AAACUUUGUCAGAUAUUGCUGUCUCAGCAGCUUGGUCACUCUCCUCUCUGGCAGCUUUAUAUGCCUUUUUCGCUUCUUCCUCAUCUUCUGUCCCUUCUUUGUCCACCAUACUGUUGUACAGGUCUAUCUGGAAAUGAAUAUCAUACAGCAGCAAACAGAGAAUGACUCAGGAUAUGUGAUUCAAAUUAAAAUAUUGAAGUAAUGCCAAUAAAUGCUCUGAGCAAUAACAUAUGUUAAGAAUUAUAAAUGAAUACCAUACUGUUGUACAGGUCUAUCUGGAAAUGAAUAUCAUACAGCAGCAAACAGAGAAUGAAGGAGGAUAUGUGAUUCAAAUUAAAAUAUUGAAGUAAGGCCAAUAAAUGCUCUGAGCAAUAACAUAUGUUAAGAAUUAUAAAUGAUCCAUAAAGUUCAGUCAGAAAGAUGACUUGGAGUCAACAAUAUGCAUAAACAAGUAGACUCUAAACGAACAACUCACACAAAGAACAUCAGCAAAUACAUUAA
rnacentral:lncRNA from 1 species